rnacentral:rRNA from 1 species
ACGUAGGGGGCAAGCGUUGUCCGGAUUUAUUGGGCGUAAAGAGCGUGUAGGCGGCCAUGUAGGUCCGUUGUGGAAACUCGAGGCUCAACCUCGAGACGCCGAUGGAAACCAUGUGGCUAGAGUCCGGAAGAGGAGAGUGGAAUUCCUGGUGUAGCGGUGAAAUGCGCAGAUAUCAGGAAGAACACCCGUGGCUAAGGCGGCUCUCUAGUACGGUACUGACGCUGAGGUGCGAAAGCGUGGGGAGCAAACAGGA